CCUACGGGAGGCUGCAGUGAGGAAUAUUGGUCAAUGGGCGCAAGUCUGAACCAGCCAUGCCGCGUGCAGGAUGACGGCCCUAUGGGUUGUAAACUGCUUUUGUUUGGGAAGAAACUCUCGUACGUGUACGGGACUGACGGUACCAGGCGAAUAAGCAUCGGCUAACUCCGUGCCAGCAGCCGCGGUAAUACGGAGGAUGCAAGCGUUAUCCGGAUUUAUUGGGUUUAAAGGGUGCGUAGGCGGAAUAAUAAGUCAGUGGUGAAAUACCCCGGCUCAACCGGGGAACUGCCAUUGAUACUGUUAAUCUAGAGUAUAUUUGAUGUGGGCGGAAUGUAGCAUGUAGCGGUGAAAUGCUUAGAUAUGCUACAGAACACCGAUUGCGAAGGCAGCUCACUAAACUAUAACUGACGCUGAGGCACGAAAGCGUGGGGAGCAAACAGGAUUAGAUACCCCGGUAGUC
rnacentral:rRNA from 1 species